rnacentral:rRNA from 1 species
AACGCUAGCUACAGGCUUAACACAUGCAAGUCGAGGGGCAGCGCAGUGUAGCAAUACAUGGGCGGCGACCGGCGCACGGGUGCGUAACGCGUAUCCAACCUUCCCGUUACUCAGGGAUAGCCUUCCGAAAGGGAGAUUAAUACCUGAUGGUGUUUGAAUUCCGCAUGUUAUUCAAACUAAAGAUUCAUCGGUAACGGAUGGGGAUGCGUGACAUUAGAUAGUAGGCGGGGUAACGGCCCACCUAGUCUACGAUGUCUAGGGGUUCUGAGAGGAAGGUCCCCCACACUGGAACUGAGACACGGUCCAGACUCCUACGGGAGGCAGCAGUGAGGAAUAUUGGUCAAUGGUCGGAAGACUGAACCAGCCAAGUAGCGUGAAGGAUGAAGGUUCUAUGGAUUGUAAACUUCUUUUAUACGGGAAUAAAACCUCCCACGUGUGGGAGCUUGUAUGUACCGUAUGAAUAAGCAUCGGCUAACUCCGUGCCAGCAGCCGCGGUAAUACGGAGGAUGCGAGCGUUAUCCGGAUUUAUUGGGUUUAAAGGGAGCGUAGACGGGAUGUUAAGUCAGUUGUGAAAGGCUGCGGCUCAACCGCAGCACUGCAGUUGAUACUGGCGUCCUUGAGUGCGGUUGAGGUAUGUGGAAUUCGUGGUGUAGCGGUGAAAUGCUUAGAUAUCACGAAGAACUCCGAUUG